UAAUAAAGUAAGCUAAGUUAAGCUAUUGGGUUCAUACCUCAGAAAUAGAUUUUGAUUAUCUCUUUAUUAU
rnacentral:tRNA from 1 species